AUGCAGAGCUUGCUCUGCUGAUCAGUGGCGAACGGGUGAGUAACACGUGAGUAACCUGCCCUUGACUCUGGGAUAAGCGCUGGAAACGGCGUCUAAUACCGGAUACGACCUUCCCCGGCAUCGGGUGGGGGUGGAAAGAUUUUUUGGUCAAGGAUGGACUCGCGGCCUAUCAGCUUGUUGGUGAGGUAAUGGCUCACCAAGGCGACGACGGGUAGCCGGCCUGAGAGGGUGACCGGCCACACUGGGACUGAGACACGGCCCAGACUCCUACGGGAGGCAGCAGUGGGGAAUAUUGCACAAUGGGCGAAAGCCUGAUGCAGCAACGCCGCGUGAGGGAUGACGGCCUUCGGGUUGUAAACCUCUUUUGGCAGGGAAGAAGCGAAAGUGACGGUACCUGCAGAAAAAGCACCGGCUAACUACGUGCCAGCAGCCGCGGUAAUACGUAGGGUGCGAGCGUUGUCCGGAAUUAUUGGGCGUAAAGAGCUCGUAGGCGGUUUGUCGCGUCUGCUGUGAAAUCCCGAGGCUCAACCUCGGGCCUGCAGUGGGUACGGGCAAACUAGAGUGCAGUAGGGGAGACUGGAAUUCCUGGUGUAGCGGUGGAAUGCGCAGAUAUCAGGAGGAACACCGAUGGCGAAGGCAGGUCUCUGGGCUGUAACUGACGCUGAGGAGCGAAAGCGUGGGGAGCGAACAGGAUUAGAUACCCUGGUAGUCCACGCCGUAAACGUUGGGCGCUAGAUGU
rnacentral:rRNA from 1 species